ensembl:lncRNA
AAAAGCAACAGUCUCCCGUCUCCAGUUUACACAAACGCAGCCAUCCUUAACAGCCCAAAUGGAUUAGAGCCGCUGCCUCCGUGGAGCCCACUUAGCAAAGUGUGAGACAGUCACCGCACAAGGUAAUUUGCAAAAGGCAGUCGCCUCUGAUCAAUCUGAAAUAAUCCUCCUGUUUAUAAAACAGAACAUAGGAUGGGGCACUGAGCCUGAUGCCAAUUACACUGGAAACGCGGUUUUCGAGUGGCGCCCGAGCCGGGGCGCCUGGGGGCCGGCCAGGCACCGUGUCGCCUGGCAGCCUAGGCUGUUCCCUUUCUGGGGUGGCUGGAGGGUUAAUCCCGUAGCAGUGGAGCAGUUUCCAUGCUCAGGAAUCAACAGCAGCAGCAGACACUGCGCACCACUGACGUCCUGCCGGCCCACGAGGCCCCACAGACAGGAGCAGGAUGGGGAACUUCUGCCCCUUGUCAGCAGGCUCAGCCGUCCAGAGGGCGUGCGUCCACACCCCUUCAGGGCUCCGUGGCAUCGAACCUCCGACCCACACUGUAUUUCAGGUUCGAUGCCCGCUCUGCAAAGGGCUCCCUUCAAGGAGCGUCAGCAGCUGCCUCGUGGGACACCUGUGUGGGAACACUAGCCCAAGGGCUGCCCACAAGCCUUCCCGGGCCUCCGUCCCAGCCCCGAAGCCCAGAGGAACUCAGGAGAGCACCUCUGUGCGGUGGCUUCCGGAGGGCCAAGUGUCCUCCCACGUUUGGCCAGUGAUGGCGGCUCUGACCCUCUGGGCCCCAGGGAGAGAGGGCUGGGCCUGCAGGGGAGGCCGGAUCGGGAGGCAGGGGUUCCGAGGCGGGCGAAUCCAGCCGUCCUCCCCGUGGUGGCGUCUGUCCCAAGCUUGUCCCCGUGGUCAUGGGAUGCAAGUCUGUGCCCAGCACAUCCUCUCCCCACGGCUGAGCUCGUGGCAGAAAGGAGACUUCCUUCAUGUUUCUCCUCUGAUUUUCUUUUGCACAUUUCAAACUUGCAAGCAAGCUGAAAGAACAGUCAAGUGAGCGCCCACAACCUUUCAUCUGGAUUCAGCAGUGGUCAGCAGUGGCCCCUGUCACUCACCCACCACCUGAUGAAGCUGUUGAGAGUAAGCUGCAGGCGUGAAACUCCCCGCGAAGCGUGCUCUUAAACGUGGGUGCUCUCUGACACCGCCCCCGAGCACGGCUCGGAUGUCAUUCACCACGGCUUGCGCUCAGAUUUCCCUGGGCCCAGCAGCGCUCUUCAAGCUGCUAUCUCACUUUGAUCCAGGCUGCAGUCAGGGAGCGCUGCUGCCUGGUGGCCGCAUGUCCUUGACUGUCUCUGUGCCGCAACACUCUCCCUGCCUUCUGAUUCAGUGUCAUCACCGGCCUUUCCCAAUAUUGCAGCUUUUAAAGACCCUGGGCCGACCGUCCCAUGGAUAUGUCUUCAUCUGGGUUUGUCUGUUGUUCCCACGAGGUCAGGUUCAGACGAAAGGUUUGGGGAGGAAUGCCGCACACGUGGGUCUGUGUGCACCUCCUGGGCGUCCUGUCAGGAGCUGGACGGCCCCCUGCUAAGGCUGAGGCCCCCUGCUGAGAGCGGGGCCCAGCUCAUGACUCCUCGAGGAAGGGACCCUCUCUCCUAGCUGUUGUUCAGUCCCUCAGUCGUGUCCGACUCUUUGUGACCCCAUAGAGUGCAGCACGCCAGGCCUCCCUGUCCAUCACCAUCUCCCAGAGUUUGCUCA